rnacentral:rRNA from 1 species
UACGGAGGAUGCAAGCGUUAUCCGGAAUGAUUGGGCGUAAAGCGUCCGCAGGUGGCAAUGUAAGUCUGCUGUUAAAGAGUCUGGCUCAACUAGAUAAAAGCAGUGGAAACUACAUAGCUAGAGUACGUUCGGGGCAGAGGGAAUUCCUGGUGUAGCGGUGAAAUGCGUAGAGAUCAGGAAGAACACCGGUGGCGAAGGCGCUCUGCUAGGCCGUAACUGACACUGAGGGACGAAAGCUAGGGGAGCGAAUGGG